AUUGAACGCUGGCGGCAGGCCUAACACAUGCAAGUCGAGCGGAUGAAGGGAGCUUGCUCCUGGAUUCAGCGGCGGACGGGUGAGUAAUGCCUAGGAAUCUGCCUGGUAGUGGGGGAUAACGUCCGGAAACGGGCGCUAAUACCGCAUACGUCCUGAGGGAGAAAGUGGGGGAUCUUCGGACCUCACGCUAUCAGAUGAGCCUAGGUCGGAUUAGCUAGUUGGUGGGGUAAAGGCCUACCAAGGCGACGAUCCGUAACUGGUCCGAGAGGAUGAUCAGUCACACUGGAACUGAGACACGGUCCAGACUCCUACGGGAGGCAGCAGUGGGGAAUAUUGGACAAUGGGCGAAAGCCUGAUCCAGCCAUGCCGCGUGUGUGAAGAAGGUCUUCGGAUUGUAAAGCACUUUAAGUUGGGAGGAAGGGCAGUAAGUUAAUACCUUGCUGUUUUGACGUUACCAACAGAGUAAGCACCGGCUAACUUCGUG
rnacentral:rRNA from 1 species